UGCUAUAUGUGUGUAUGGGUAUGGGUUU
rnacentral:piRNA from 1 species